CCUCGCAGCCCUCCAUGGGCGUUUCCUCCCUAGACUUCAGGCCGCCCUAUGUGGGCGGCCUCUUUUCUAGAACACC
rnacentral:sRNA from 1 species